rnacentral:misc_RNA from 1 species
CUUUAAUAAUUUCAAACUGAAUACUGAACCUACACCCCUAGCUACAACUUGCAUCAAACACAAACUUAACAUGCUGUGAUUAUUACACUUUGGGAUCAAAUCCAAUCCAUACCAUUCUGUCAAAAAGUCUUAUACUUUAAAAAAUAUCCUUGCACCUUAUUUUCUUUUUAGAUACAAAUGUAAAAUUUUGUUUGCACACACUUCACUAUUUACUACAAUCACCAUAAAAGAUUUUUUAUAUACCACAUCCAAGUCUCAAAAAGAGUAAAAAUGUACUAGAAAAUUGCUGAUUUAAAUUUAAUUUAUAUUUACAAGUAAAAAGUACUACGAAUUUGAGUGAAAGUUACAUCCUCUGCCUCUGCCACUGCCACUGCCCGUACUGGUGUAUGAGGAGGUGGCUUCAUUGGAGAUGACGGCUGCUGCUGAACCUCUGCAAGUACCUUGUCCGGUCGAGGAGGCUGACAUGGACAUGGCAAUGCUAUAAACUUGGGUACUUGAUCUCCAGGCAUUAACACUGCUGGCAUGUCUGAGAUUUGGUUUUGCUUACAAUUCAUGUAUGCUCGUUUAGAUUUCAAAUAUGAAGGGUCUCCGCCGGCUUCGAGAUCUGUGCUGUUGGCGAAGGAUCGACGGAGAGAUCGAAGCUUGUCCCAAUGGUAGCAGCAAGAGAAGAUACCACUCAAGCUGAAUAUUAUUAGCAAUAGAAGCGCAGUUCCCAGAGGGAACCCAAGUGAAGGCCGCGACGGGUCUGAAUGGGCCGGUGCAUAAUUUUGAUUCUCCAUUGUUUUUUCUCUGCUGAUAAUAAUUCAAAUUUUCUCCUUCCAACAUACAGUGCAACAAACAAUUUAUGUUUAGAGAAAAAAAAAACCGAACUGAUGCUAAAAAAAUAUGACAAAGAAGAAUUGGUAAAUUUAAGAAAGAAAUGGAAAUACAGAGAACUGAAAGAAGAGUUGU